CUUCCUUCCUUCCUUCCUUCCUUCCUUCCUUUCUUUCUUUUUUUCUUUUUUUCAACUUGCUUGGCUUUGCUUAGUCUCUGAAGAACUCUCACCACCUCCCUUAUUCUAUGUCUUAUGAUAUUAUUUAUUUAUUUAUUUAUUUAUUUUUUACAUGGUCUUAUUUCUAGUUGUGAGCAAGUGUCUGGAAUUCUGUGAUCUGCCAGUCAGACUUUAUCUGAAGAUAAAAGUGCUUUGGUUUGGGGAUCCUGGGGCUGUGUGGGAAUAAAGAGAAGCCUAUUUGUCUCAGUGGUCUGGAUUUGCUUCCUGGAGUCUGCUAGAACCCGGACCCACUGUUGGGUGGGAAGGGUAGUCCUAGAAGACAUAGAAGAUGGGCUAGGGUGCAGAAUGGUAGGGAGGGUGCUGUGUGCCAGAAAAGACUGGCUCAGGACUCAGGGUGGAGUACUGGGGAGUGUGUGCACAGGGCCCUCUACCAUAGCUGUCUUGGCAGAGGGCAAUGGAAGAGCUGGGAGUGGAUGAGAUGCCAAACUCUGCAUUUUAUUUGUUAGAAGACUAAACAGUCGACUAAGUCCUUUUUGUUCAAGUCUGGAGCACAGAGUGAUCAAGCUGACUUUCCCCCAACAAGCUCUGCAUCUGACUCUUCUUUGCACAUUAUUCCCAAUGGCAAAGGGGGGAAAACCUAAGUAUCCAUCAGUGGAUGGACAGCUACAUACAGUGCUAUCUGUGCAAUGCAACACUCCUCAGCCGUGAGCAUGUUGGCGUUCUCAGUCACAUAAGACAGUCACAAAAAGAGGGUCACUCAAGGAGGAGUUAUGGCUUGCUGGCAGCAGGGAGACCCAGCUUCUGUGGACCGGAUCUCGAACAGCCGCACAAAAGCAUAUUAUUGAAUGCUACACAGAAGUUUUUUGGGUAAAACAAGUUCCUUAUAUCAAAGCCCCUAAUCUAAUCUGACUGGGAACUGCCAGGGCUUGAAUGAGGGUGGAUCUGAGUUACACUUAAUAGGUAUGGGCUUCCUUCCUUCCUUCCUUCCUUCCUUCCUUCCUUCCUUCCUUCCUUCCUUCCUUCCUUCCCUAUCUCUCUCCCCUCUCCCUCCCUUCUUUCUUUUUCCCAAGACAGGAUUUUUAUUUUAUUUUAUUUUAUUUUUUUUUGUGUGUGUGUAACAGAGCCCUGGCUGUCCUGGAGUUGGCUUUGUAGGCCAGGCUGACCUUGAAUUCAUAGAGAUCAUACCCAAUAGGUAUGGUGUUUCCUUUUGGGUUGUUGAAAGUGUUCCUAAAUAAGCUAACAGUGAUGGUUAUACGUUUAUGGUUUACUGACUGCGUAAACGCCACUGAGCUGUGUAUUUUAUGAUAGUAAAUAAAAGUUAUUUUUAGAUAACUUUGUUCAUGAGUAUAUUAUCUUUUGCUCAUUGUGGUGGCUAGUGUUGAUGGUCACCUUGCCAGGAUCUAGUAUCACCUGGGAGACACAUCUCUGGGAGUGCCUGUGAAGGGAUUGUCUUGACAAGGUUAAUUGACCCAUGGUAACUGUGGGCAGCAGCGCUCCACAGGCUGGGAUCCUAACGUAGACAAAAAGAGAAAGCAAACUGAGAACUAACUAGUACCGAGUCCUAGUACUCUGCUCUGCUUCCUAACGGCUCCUGCAGUAAGAUGGGUUACCCCCUGCUCUUGCCAUGGCUUCCCCACCUCGAUCCAACUGUAUCCUCUUACAUACACCGAGACAAACCCCUCCUUCCUUCAAUUGCUGCUUCUUAGUUAUUCGAUCACAGCAGUAUGGAAAGUAUCUAGUACAACCGUGCUAAUGCCCACAGCCUUCUCUGGUCCACGCCUGCUGCCCGCUCCUCCUAGCCCAGCCUUCUCUGUGUUUAUUGUGCCUCACUGAGUUGCAUCAGGGUUGCUUUCAGGGCCUUGAUGGAGGAUCGUUUACUGGAGCAUGGGCAGCUUAGCAGUGUCUACACUUGGAAGAAAAUAUAAGAUGGUAAAUACUACGUUAUUUUAUUACAGCAAUAAAAAAAAAACGAAUAAUCAUGAAACCUGAGUCCCCGCCCCUGUGAGAAGAGAUGGAUACUCAACAAAGGAAUAGAAAUUUAACUUAAGGUCUGGGGAGACAUAAAAUGUAGGGUAACAGUUGGAAUGGUAGGGAGGAUGCUGUUUUAUGGGGUGCUAAGAUUGCCUUUCUGAGUUGGAUAAGACUGAGAGGCACUGAGGCCACUGCACAAGAGAUGCAGCUGACUGAGGGACCAGGGACCACUGAGGGUGGAAGCAGAAGGUGGAGAGAAGGGGGCAAGUGCAGGGGUUGUGGGGACCCAAAGAAGCUGCACAUGGGCACAGCCACGUCUAGGACCCAGUGCCUCAGGUCCAUGGGAAUGGCAGAGCCUUCCCCGCACAGCCUUCCUUGCACAGAACAGGGCAGGAAUUGGCAAAGCCUUCUUCCGGUCUGAGUACACAGUGUUUAGGAAGGAUUGACCAGUGUGUAUUUGCAGCUUCCUCCUCCUUCAUGACUGCACCCAGACACUGCUUCCCUACAGAACCCUCCUAUGGGGACUGGCUAACUUCUCCCCGCUGUGCUACACAGCUGACGUUCCAGGUUGCUUCAUGGUACCGUGCUCAAUCACAGUGAACAGAAACCACCUGAUCCCAGCUUUUCCGCAAGGAAGUUUAAUGGAGGAGAGAAGAAGUUCUACCCUAAGUGUGGGCACCACCAUCCAGCGAACUGGGAUCCUGGACUGAAGAGAAGAAGACACUGAGUACCAGCGUCAUCUCUCUCUGCUUCCUGACUGCAGAAGCAAGUGUUAGGUUUAGCUUCUCGUGCAUAAUAGGAAAGUGGUUUACCACCGGGCUACAUUCCCAGCCCACAGACACCUGAAAUCUUGCAAUGAACUAGGAAGAUAAACCACUGGUGAGUCUGGAGCCUAGAGGUAUGUAUGAUUUGCUGUCUGCAACAGUGCACAGUGACAGCCUAUCUCCUCCCCGUGGUCCCUGAUGCUGCCGGGAACGGGAACAUUCCAUAGCUCCAGCAUCACUGCUCCAUAGAGGGCUGUAGGGAGCAGGCAGGCUGCUGUCCUCAUUCCUUAAGGAGAGUGUGUUCUGAGUGGGGGCAGCUUCCUGCACUGAGGGUGUUCUGUGGAUGUCAGUGGCUUUGGCACAGGGGCCGUGCUGAGGGAAGUGAACUACUCUUCCUGCUCGCUGGGAUCUUCAGGACCCCUCUGUACUUUCUGUGUCGGGUUUAGUGGAACUUAAAGUCGAGUGGGUAGAGUUCCCGAACGCUCCAUCUCACCUGAGAUCCAGCCCGCUCCUCCUAGAUGCCUUCCAGGCUUCCCACUUCAGAACCAUCCCGUCCUCACAACCGCACUAGCAUCGUGUAGAGCUGAGAGAAAGGGGAGAGAGAGAGAGAGAGAGAGAGAGAGAGAGAGAGAGAGAGCGCUUUAGUCCCUGUUACCUGGCUACUUCCUUUUCUCCUUUGUCACACAGGGAACAGGGACUGCAUUUGUAUCAUAGAACAUCCUCUGUACCUGGGAGCUGUAACAUAGUAGGUGCUCAACAAACCUUGUUGCAUCCCAGAUAGAUAAACAGAUCUGUUCUUCAUGGAGAGCAGCUAUGCAGCAGUCCCAGCACACCAUCAGGGUGUGGGAGAGGAAAGGAGAAGCUGUCCACUGAGUCUAGGGAAGGGCAGGGCUCAGGACGACUUCUGGAAGGAGGAGAUGCUGGAGCUGAGAACCCAAGAAUAGCUGGAGUCAUGCAGAUGGGAAGGAACAGGGCCCUGGAAGAAGGGUUGCUCUUGGUACUGACAAAAGCCACACUGGGUGUUACCGGACAGACAGACUGUUCUGGGAGCGGUGGUAGGAGGUAAAGGGGAGAGGCCCCGGGACAGGCAGCCAGACUCAUCGUUCUGCAGCUCAGCUCUGGCUCCCCUAACUUCUCCAGCUCUGCAGAAGGGGCCUGUUCUCGUGGAGGUCUCCCUGCAGAGCGUGCCUGAGCCUCCAUUCAGCAUCUUUCCCCCUCAUAGCUCUGCUCUUCCAGGUUCUGUUCUCUGCCUCUCCCAGGACCCCACUCUCACUUCCUGUUGCCUCAUCAUUGUUCUGCCUUCUGAAUUGGUCUUAUUUGUCUCCAGUUCAUCCCGCACAUGUCUGCCAGAUUCAUCUGACCCAGAGCCCAAACUCUGCUCCUGGAAGGUGGCCUCCCCUGUUCGAUAGUUUCCCACAACCCUCGGGUAUUGUCUCUGCUCAGCAUCCUGGGGUCUUAUCCCGUAUGUUCAACCUAACUGUUUGGACCACUUAGUCUAUGAUAUCUUUAUCCACACAGUCAGCAACGCUAGACUCUGUUCCUCUCCAAACACUCCUGAGUUCUGUUUUAGUUCAUGUCUCACAGCUCCAGAUCACUGUGGAGUCUCAUGUGUGCUUCAAGGCUGGGCUUAUACUUGGCUUUUUCUGAAGCAUUUACCGAUUCCCUCAGAUCUUUUUAGUCUAGCUCCUGCCUCAGUCACGGUAUGGCUCAACUUCCUGCUGAACUAUAUAUCCUGAGGACCACAUACAUAUGCUAUAGCCAGGGGAACCCGGACAGAUCUCUGUCAUAGCAACCACUACUCUUAGGCCCCUCUAAGAGAGACCUAGAUGAAGAACAGGGAAGAAAGCAGAGGUAACUUCAGUAGAAGCUAGGCAUGUUUCAGAAGCCCCAUGUAGAGAACUGAGUUCACCUGGGCUCAGCCUCAAGGUUUCAUUCUCCUCAAAUCUUUAUUGAUCUUGUGUGUGUCCUGGCCAGCUGUGUGUGAGGACAGUAGUGUGUGUCUGAGCCAAUACACACAGUGGCAUCUGCUGCACAAAUAGGACAGAGAGCCUGGUCAGCUCUGCCCUGGACUCCUUCUAUAGACAGCAUCUUUAGCCACAUGCAAAUACAGGUGAGCAAUAUGGGUCCUGUAAGCUGACCAGUCAACGUCAUCUCCCUCUUUGGUAUUAGAGGGGAGAAGAGGUGCUCAGAGAGGGAGAUGGAGUUCUGGGAGCUUCCUGCAUCACCUUUGACGUAUUCCAAGAUAGAAUAGGAGCAUCACGGAGAUGUCCCAGGCCCGGAAACCCCAACAGCAAGAGGAUAGAUCUCAGAGUGAUGUAAUUUGUCUGUCAGUAAUCCACAUGCUUAGUGGGCCAUCUCUGCUGUCUAAGCCUGGCCUCCGGGCACUCAGAUGUAUAUCCAGGCUCUGGUCCUCUCCAGAAAACCAUCACAGAAGAAAUAGAUUUCACACAGUAGCCUAGGAUUUGAUGGGGGGGGGGAAACAAAUCAGACAAAACUAUGGUGUAGAAGAGAUGCACAGACUGGGUUAGUGCGUGUGGACCACUGGGGAGAAGAUGGAAGAGUUGGGGACAGGGGACUCGCACAGGAUGGAAUAUCAGAGGGGCUUUUAGGAGAUAUGUUAAUGUAGGAAACUGUAGUCCCAGACAGCCAUCUCGCCUCAGUCCUCACUCCUAUGGUAGUUGUAGCCACUGUGGUAUGUAGACACACAGUCUUAGGGUUUUAUUGCUGUGAAGAGGCACCAUG